rnacentral:lncRNA from 1 species
AUUAGUUUAUGUCCAGAGAUGAUUAUGGAAUUAUAUGCUUUUGAUGCGAUAAGAAAACAUUUAGUUAAAGUUUUCUAUUUCUGUCAAAUGUUAGAUGACCAAUACUAACCAAAUGAUUUUGUAUAGUUUUUCAGUCAUAAGAGUCACUUCCUUACAGAUAUCUAGAAUAAAGAUGUUGAGCUCACAAAUUUUAUGUUCUAGAUCCCAUGACUAAUUGUUUUUCAAUGGGAGUAUGUGAAAGGUAUCUGUUUCAUUUUGUAGACAUUUACAAAGUUUUGUUUUACUCUCUUAAUCAGUGGGAGUAAUAAUAAUUUAUCUAUAUAAUUUUGUCUCUGUUAAUCAGUGGGAGUAAGAGAUGACCUUUUGUGUUAAAAAUUU